GCAGGCCAACUCUUGACUUUGAUUCGAUCUCGAUAUUCGAUCUCGAUUCGAUCUCGACAAAAUCUGAUAUUGAUCACAAAACGGUACUCUUGAGCCGAAUCGAAUCGAAAUCGAGAUCGAGUUGAAAUCCACCUAAAAUGGCGAUCCGUUAACCAUUUCCGGGUGAUGACGUAAUUUACAUCGAAUGAAAGGUUCUUUAUAGUGACACUACAAUUUAAGAUUUUAAAUUUACAAUGGCUAUUUAUCUUUUAUAAACAGACAUAUUUUGCAAAGUAUCUGUAAAUACGAGUUAUUUUACAUUAAAUAAAGGCACAAUAACUAGUGAAACUUUACUUAUAUUCGAUCAGACAAAAGAAUUUUGUUGGAUUAGUUAAUACCUUUGCACUAUUUUUAAAAAAGAAGAACUUUGACAGUGACAUUUCAUUCAAAAAGGGGCGCGGGAUUGUAAAAAAAAUUAAGCUUUAAACUUGCAAGUGCUUCGAAUGUUUGAAAAAAAUGUUUAAGUGGUUUUGUGGUGCCUAUUUAUCAAUGUUUAUAUUAUUUAUUGAUAUGGGUUGUAAAAGUAAGUCAAGGAGUAAGCCCCGUGCGUUAAGAGUGCAAGGUCUACAUAUCCCAAGUAACCAACUAAGAAAAUCCAGGAAUCGCUAAAGGUCAUCUGCGUUCCGUUGAAGUAAAGCGAGAAUAAACGCAAAUGGGAACAAAUUAUCAUUACUCUAAACGCUAUGGGAGGGACGCAAAAAGAUGCCAAAUGUUGGUCAAAGGUAAGAUGUUAAAUGUAUAAUGUUAUUAUGUAGGUACACAAAAAUAGGUAAAUAUUGGUAAUAGUUUGUUUGUAAAGAUAAUUUUGAGGCAAGUUUCAUUAUUCAAUCAUAAAUGUUUUAUUAGACAGGUAUGAAUAUGCAUGUGCGUUAUGGUGACUUAUUGGUUUUCAGUUUUGGAUUGACAAAAAAUAUGCCCGAAAUAAAGUUGGCAGCGGAAUGCAGAUGCGAACUGAACCGGAGGUGGUGGACCUGCCAACUUACCUCCACUUACAAGUAUAGAAGAGAGAAUGGUGGCUAUACUGGGUGGCAGGGGUUUAGCAGAAGAUGACUCUCAGUUUAGAGUUCCAAUACCACCAUAGCAGCCCCAAGAUGCCAUUGAAUUCGAGCCAGGUUGAGUCGUUGAGCUGCCAGAACAACAAUAGACAAGGGAGUGCGAUCUCAACUUCAAAUGAAAGAGAUAGCCUUGUUUCUGUUGAGGAGAAGCGGAUGGAGGCAGAGCUUAUUCAUGAGCAUUGCAAGAGAAUAUGGAUGGACUUGUUGCAGCUUGCAAUAAUAUAGCUGAAGUAAUAUCUUUAUUUGGAAAAAUACUGGUCAAUGAUGUAGAAACUUUUAUGUAAUCACAUUAAAGUGUCUACAACAAGACAAAAUACUUUUUGGAUUUAUGGAUAUGGAUAGUAUUGUUGAUUAUUAGUUGUUUUUCUUUCUUGUUCCAAUAAUUGUUAGAACUAGUAGAUUACAUUAGUAUUAUUUGACAAAUAGAUACUAAACCAAUAUGAACAGAAGUAUUUUGUUAUGUGUACCAUAUUUUUAAGUGCUACUAUGAAGUUACAUAACUAUUUCAGCUCUAAAUUAAUAAUAAAGAGUAGUAAUAUAUGUAUAAAAUAAAACAAUAUUAAUAUGAUAUCUCUGUUUAUUAAUUUUUGUCUCCUUGUCCACAACAUAUUCACUAUGCGUUGCUGGGCUUCAACUCCUGGCAUGACAUGGCAUUACCAUGGGAUCUUCCUAUGAUACGUUGAAAACUGCCUGUUGCAUAAAAAGAGAGCAAUAUCUAUAACAAGUUUUUUUUUGUAGAUUACAUGUAAACACAUAUGGCACAAAUUUAAAUAAAUAGAACUCGGAAACUAGCCUUUAUUUUAAUGGGAAUAUCACUUCUGCGAGAAGGUGCCUUUAAGUAUAGGGAGAGCAUCUCCACAAGCUCCAAAAAAAUUUCUUUUGUUAUGUGGUAGUUUGCUACGAAUUCCUCAUCACCAAUUUCUAUACCUGCUGCACAAUUACGAGCUAUUUGCCUUUUUCGGCGUGCGUCAACCCUCUCGGCUUGAUCCAAUAAAUUUAAUUGUGCUGCAAAUCGAGCCAUCCCGCUAUCAAUCCACAAACACUUUUAUAUAGAUAAAAAAUUCAAAUAUUUCGAGCACUUUCACUCUCGCAGAAACAUUGUAUCUCCUUAUCAUUAAAGAAACUUACAUAUUUUCUAUUAUUACAUUUUUUAUAA